CCUACGGGAGGCAGCAGUGGGGAAUAUUGCACAAUGGGGGAAACCCUGAUGCAGCGACGCCGCGUGAGUGAAGAAGUAUCUCGGUACGUAAAGCUCUAUCAGCAGGGAAGAAAAUGACGGUACCUGACUAAGAAGCCCCGGCUAACUACGUGCCAGCAGCCGCGGUAAUACGUAGGGGGCAAGCGUUAUCCGGAUGUACUGGGUGGAAAGGGAGCGUAGACGGGCGCACAAGUCUGGAGUGAAAUCCCGGGGCUUAACCCCGGAACUGCUUUGGAAACUGUGCGGCUGGAGUGCAGGAGGGGUAAGCGGAAUUCCUAGUGUAGCGGUGAAAUGCGUAGAUAUUAGGAGGAACACCGGUGGCGAAGGCGGCUUACUGGACUGUAACUGACGUUGAGGCUCGAAAGCGUGGGGAGCAAACAGGAUUAGAUACCCCUGUAGUC
rnacentral:rRNA from 1 species